GACGAACGCUGGCGGCGUGCCUAAUACAUGCAAGUAGAACGCUGAAGGAGGAGCUUGCUUCUCUGGAUGAGUUGCGAACGGGUGGGUAACGCGUAGGUAACCUGCCUGGUAGCGGGGGAUAACUAUUGGAAACGAUAGCUAAUACCGCAUAAUAGCAGUUGUUGCAUGACAACUGUUUGAAAGGUGCAAUUGCACCACUAACAGAUGGACCCGCGUUGUAUUAGCUAGUUGGUGGGGUAACGGCUCACCAAGGCGACGAUACAUAGCCGACCUGAGAGGGUGAUCGGCCACACUGGGACUGAGACACGGCCCAGACUCCUACGGGAGGCAGCAGUAGGGAAUCUUCGGCAAUGGACGGAAGUCUGACCGAGCAACGCCGCGUGAGUGAAGAAGGUUUUCGGAUCGUAAAGCUCUGUUGUAAGAGAAGAACGAGUGUGAGAGUGGAAAGUUCACACUGUGACGGUAUCUUACCAGAAAGGGACGGCUAACUACGUG
rnacentral:rRNA from 1 species